ACCAACAACCGCUUCAUUCCCAUUCCCCAUUCUCUCCCACGACAAACCCUAGCCGCCGGCCGCCGCCCGCCGCUGUGGCCCGAUGCCACACCCCCCUGAGCCCGUGAUGACGGUCGCACCAAGGCGCCGCGCGCCCUGACCGAUGAAUCCUGGCGCCCCGAGCCGCGCUCAGGACAGGUGACGACCACGACCAGCAUCCAAGCCGUCAACCGCCGUGCCCCGUGCGUCGCGCUACGCCGCCAUUCCCGGCACUCGUGUGUCGCUCCAUUGCCUGUGACGCGGCCAUCCAUCCCCGACCACCAUCUAAGCUGGAGUUCUUCACCAUCUUUUCCUCUUCCAUGCUGGUCGCCGGCUCGCCGCGUACUGUCCUCUUUUAGUGCUCCACUUCGCAGAUGAAGAUUUUGUGUUGCCCAUAGGUAAAACUCAGCAAGAAGGCAUGCUCCUCCGUCUUAGGAUUUCAUCAUUCCACAAAGCCACGUCCGCGUCAUUGCGUAGCGGAGGCCUGAGAUUCUUACGUCCUCGAUUGUUGAGAUGUGGCCGGCGAUUGAGAACCUUCAAGAAUCCAGCAGUAAUAUGUUGCCGGCGAUUGAGAACCUUCAAGAGUCCAGCAGCAAUAUGUCGCCGAACGAUGGCCGGGCAGUUGUAGUCAUUGGCGGUGAGGAGCAUCAGUAAUGGCUAGCUGCUGCUGCACUCGACACUGAUGUUCAGGUGCAUAUGCAAGUAUAAUGUACGCACAUGCUCAAUCCAUCUCCAUGUCGUCAACAUUAUAAGCAUUAGUGGACCAUAUAUGCAUUUGCAUGAUGGAGCCGUCUCAGCUAAGCAAUAAAGCAAAAGUUCAGGUGCUCAUUGCUAAGCUGCUUGCAGACUUGAGUAUGGAAAGCAACUGAUCGUCAACUACCUGCAGAAUGUACUGCACCCGCGAGGAAUAUACUGGCCGUCUCGACGUUUGGUAGCAGUCCAGGGCGGCUGCAGUUCCAGUUGGUAGUAGGGGUGCUGUCAGCAGUAUAUAUAGUACUGAUUUUCUAUUUUAAGAUUUUCGUGUGAAUCUUGUUGCUGGUGAAGUAGCGAUUAUAUAUACUACAUAUUUUCUUUUUUAAGAUUUUCAUGUGUUGUACUGUUUUCCAUGCAGAUUGCAUACAA